ensembl:lncRNA
CAUGCAGAUAUUCUCCCAGCCCUGGGGAAGAUCCGAGAUAAGCAGAGAAGUGACAUACAAAUGGCAAGGAGGAGAGAGUGAUCUAAUCGACUGGCCGCGAGCGUGAUUCCAACCAGACCUCUGAUUUUCAAACUCCUUUUUUAAAAAACAAUGAAGUUGAAGAAGAAAGCGGAGUGUCUUUGUUUCAGGACAAGGGCCCUGCAGAGCCCUCUUUGACCACCAGAGGUCAGAAGCAAAACAUCGCAGCCCCACCACUGAGCCCUCAUUUCCUCAAUCGCUGUUCUGGAGAGAGGGAAGCAGAGGAAUCAGCAGAAAUACCGCUUCAUUCACAGUACACGAAGGACCGCAGGCAAUGGAGGUGGAAGGUGGCAAGGUUAGCGAUGCGGCCGGCAGCCUGUGGGCGUGGGAACUGGGAGGCGUAAGGGAAGAUGUGCCCUUCAUACUCCGCUGAGUAUAACAUGGGUUUGUUGACAUUUGCUGCCCUUUUGUAUUUGCUUAUUCAUGAACGCUAAUAUAGGAAACUUUCUGUGUUUUUCAGGAACGCAGGCAGAACCCAAAAGCCUCAUCAAAACCUGUGUGUCUAUUCAAAAAAGGCAUUUGCAGCUUUCCUGAAAUUGUGCUUUUAUUCUUUGCAAACACAUUUCUGGAAUACUAAAAAAGCAUCUUGGCAUAAUAAGCAACCAACAGAGUGAAUUUUCCCAGCCAUAAAGCCUGGAUCAGCUCAUGGGCAAGAAAUAAGGCCAUGUGAUCUCACUGACCAGCCAUAAGGCAGGAAAAUUGGAAAGGCUGCAGAAAGCUCAGGGUGGAAAUCGGCUCAGAUAUAUCCUGUAAAUCUUUAAACAGUUGUUUGAGCCAUGAGCUGUAAACUCUGCACAGACCAUUUGUAGAAGGAAAUGUGCUUUAUCAGGCAAAUUACUCAUAGCAUAACUUGACCUCCUCUCUUUGCCUUUUGGAGCACAGCUGUGGGCUAUGUAUGUUGGAAAAGAAAGGAUCGGGGAUGGCAAAACUAAAUGAUC